GCCGGGUGCAGUGGCGCGCGCCUGUAAUCCAAGCUGCUGGGAGGUUGAGGCUGGCGGAUCGCUUGAGUUCAGGGGUUCUGGGCUGCAGUGGACUAUGUCGAUCAGGUGUCCGCGCUAAGUUCGGUAUCGAUAUGGUGCUCCUGGGGCAGCUCGGGACCACCAGGUCGUCUAAGGAGGGGUGAACCGGCCCAGGUCGGAUUCUUACCUUGCGGUAUUUAACGAAGUAUGCAUUGAUAGGGAUGCCCCAGUCCCGACCUGCCCGCCACUCUAGAUCAU
rnacentral:SRP_RNA from 1 species